CCUACGGGAGGCAGCAGAGAGGAAUAUUGGUCAAUGGACGCAAGUCUGAACCAGCCAUGCCGCGUGCAGGAAGACGGCUCUAUGAGUUGUAAACUGCUUUUGUACGAGGGUAAACGCAGAUACGCGUAUCUGUCUGAAAGUAUCGUACGAAUAAGGAUCGGCUAACUCCGUGCCAGCCGCCGCGGUAAUACGGAGGAUUCAAGCGUUAUCCGGAUUUAUUGGGUUUAAAGGGUGCGUAGGCGGUCGGAUAAGUUAGAGGUGAAAUCCCGAGGCUCAACUUCGGAAUUGCCUCUGAUACUGUUCGGCUAGAGAGGAGUUGCGGUAGGCGGAAUGUAUGGUGUAGCGGUGAAAUGCUUAGAGAUCAUACAGAACACCGAUUGCGAAGGCAGCUUACCAAGCUACUUCUGACGUUGAGGCACGAAAGCGUGGGGAGCAAACAGGAUUAGAUACCCGAGUAGUC
rnacentral:rRNA from 1 species